UACGAAGGGGGCUAGCGUUGCUCGGAAUACUGGGCGUAAAGGGCUCGUAGGCGGCCAACUAAGUCAGACGUGAAAUCCCUCGGCUUAACCGGGGAACUGCGUCUGAUACUGGAUGGCUAGAGGUUGGGAGAGGGAUGCGGAAUUCCAGGUGUAGCGGUGAAAUGCGUAGAUAUCUGGAGGAACACCGGUGGCGAAGGCGGCAUCCUGGACCAAUUCUGACGCUGAGGAGCGAAAGCCAGGGAGCAAAGCGGG
rnacentral:rRNA from 1 species